GAUUUCUGACGAAACUGCUAGCUGGCCCGCCACGCAAGUGUGUGAGUGCCGGCUUGGCGUUUGUCAUCCGUUCGAAUGAUAUGCGUGCUGCCCUUCACUGGGUUGGCGCUGCAUGUUUUCGAUCUUUUACUUUGAAAAAAUUAGAGUGUUUCAAGCAGGCGUUUUGCUAUGAAUACAUUAGCAUGGAAUAAUGAGUUAGGACUUCGGUUCUAUUUUGUUGGUUUCUAGGACUGAAGUAAUGAUUGAUAGGGAUAGUUGGGGGUGCUAGUAUUCAGCGGCCAGAGGUGAAAUUCUUGGAUUCGCUGAAGACUAACUUAUGCGAAAGCAUU
rnacentral:rRNA from 1 species